AGGAGGAUGUCCUCCCCUGUGUGGGAACAUUUUGAUCUUAUUCCUCCCAACAAGGUGAAGUGUUUGCUAUGUGCCAGGGAGCUGGGAUAUAACAACAACACCUCAUCCAUGCUUAGGCACUGCAGAGCUUUGCAUGAGAAUAAGGGGAACACCGAUUGUGGAGCAAGACCAGGAGAACAAUCUCAAAUAGAUGAAGACCUGGUCAGCAUGGUGAUUGAGGACUCCCAGCCAUUUAGCAUUGUGGAGGACAAAGGAUUCAAAAGAUUUGUUAAAUCAUUAAAUCCCAGCUAUGUUCUCCCCACUAAAAAGGUCAUAAAAGCAGUGAAAAUUUAGUUUUUACAGAAUAAAAUGUGAA
ensembl:lncRNA